AGAACGAACGCUGGCGGCAGGCCUCAAACAUGCAAGUCUAGGGGGUGUAGCAAUACAUCACCGGCGGACGGGUGCGUAACACGUGGGAAUAUACCUUUUGGUUCGGAACAACGCAGGGAAACUUGCGCUAAUACCGAAUGUGCCCUUACGGGGAAAGAUUUAUCGCCAAAGGAUUAGCCCGCGUAGGAUUAGCUAGUUGGUGAGGUAAUGGCUCACCAAGGCUCCGAUCCUUAGCUGUUCUGAGAGGAAGAUCAGCCACACUGGGACUGAGACACGGCCCAGACUCCUACGGGAGGCAGCAGUUGGGAAUCUUGGACAAUGGGGGAAACCCUGAUCCAGCCAUGCCGCGUGAGUGAUGAAGGCCUUCGGGUUGUAAAACUCUUUCGACGGGGACGAUAAUGACGGUACCCGUAGAAGAGCUCCGGCUAACUUCGUGCCAGCAGCCGC
rnacentral:rRNA from 1 species